AAAAAGGGAAAAGCAAGAAUAAGAGGAAGUGGAAAAGAAUGAAGAGGAAAAGAGAAAGUAGUAAGCAAAACCCAAGGAGAGUGUCUCCUAGUGCAGGUUCAAGGCAGGCCCCCUUUGGCGCCGGUGUCCCCGCGCGCCUUUUUCCUUGUUGCGUAUUUCUAUUUCUUCUGUGUCUUUGUUUCAAAUAUUGCAAACUCUAUACUUCUCAAACUUCUCUCUAGACAUAUCCCUUCGCUGACAUUCUGCACUCUGUUCCCAAUCUAUAUUUUAUAUAUGCGAAUCUCUCUCUCUUCCCACCAACGCACAAUUUGACCAUAUAUUAAUAACUUUGUUUACUAAUGCUUAUAAUACUUCAUUAAUUAAUGUAUAUUACCAAAAAGUACCAUGUUGCAGAUAUUGUAUGCCAGAGACAGGUUGGUCACUAAAGUUUCCACGGGAUGUGCCAUGCAAGAUGGUAAGCAUUUUGUGAUUCAAGAAGAUCGUGCAAAUAACUGAAAGAAAAGGGAAAAUAAAUGUGAGAUUACAAACGAUUCAAUUUGAUUUAUAAUUAUCUCCAUUUAAAUAGUCUUGGGUGGAUAUUUAGGAAACCAUGAUUUGUAUUCCUCCAGCCAGGGUACAUAUAAGCCAACUAUCUUAUUCUCUCUUGCGAAAAGCAUAAUCAAAUGCAAGCAUGAUCUAAAAGGGUCCUAGUUAAAAACAAUUAUUAAUGCUAGAAAGAAAGGGCACAACUAAAAGAGUUGUUUGGGAUGUGUUUCAUAUUGUGUGUGUGUGUGUGUGAAGAAUAUUUCAGGUGCAUGCGCAAAGACAGAAGAGCUUGAUUUUAUUGAGUGCAAACUAAGCAUGACAAACCCUAAAGUAAGUGUUGCUCCCCCUUGACAUCAUUCCACUCACCUUCUUCACCUUCCCAUCCCGAGGCAAAACCUACCAGUAUAUACAUUCUCUGCUUCUCCACCACAUCUCAUAUCUUCUCUAUCCUUCUCUCACUCUUUCUCUACAUAGAAUCCCACAUUUCAAUUCCUUUACAUUUCAUUUUGCUACUCAUACAUGUCAUUCAACACUCAUAAACCAUUCCUUUUUCUUUUUGUUUAUUUUGGAAGUCAUGCAUGAAUAUAUGCUACAUGUAUGACCUAUAUAGGUCCCUCUAAACCCUCUACCUGAUAUCGUUAUCUACGUAGAAAUGAUAGUGUUCUAUAGCUAUAUGUAAGAUAUCUCGACUUAUUACCAAAGCAAAAGUGACUUAAUAAAACACGCCUUUCCGUUUUGUCU
rnacentral:lncRNA from 1 species